rnacentral:rRNA from 1 species
UAACAAUGAUUUCCCUAGUAACGGCGAGUGAAGAGGAAAGAGCCCAAAGUUGGAACCUGUUUGGCUUAGCUAAACCGGAUUGUAAACUGUAGAAACAUUUUCCAGGCACGCUAGACAAAAAAGUCCUUUGGAACAGGGCAUCAUAGAGGGUGAGAAUCCCGUCUUAAUCUAAGUAGUUGUCUAUUUGUGAUAUGUUUUCAAAGAGUCAGGUUGUUUGGGAAUGCAGCCUAAAUUGGGUGGUAAAUCUCACCUAAAGCUAAAUAUUUGCGAGAGACCGAUAGCGAACAAGUACCGUGAGGGAAAGAUGAAAAGAACUUUGAAAAGAGAGUUAAACAGUAUGUGAAAUUGUUAAAAGGGAACCGUUUGGAGCCAGGCUGGCUUGACUGUAAUCAUCCUACUUUUUUUGUGGGUGCACUUGCGGUCUUUGCCUGCCAACAACAGUUUGAUUUGGAGGAAAAAAAUAUUUGGAAUGUGGCCUUUUUCGGAAGGUGUUAUAGCCUUUUAUAUCAUACUCUGGAUUGGACUGAGGAUCGCAGUUAUUGUUUCCGCUUGUUUUUCUUUUGCUGAUAAAUGUUAAAAUUUCUGCUUAGGGUGGUGUUAAUGUUUAAAGGUAAAACUAGGAUGAGUAUUGUGAUAACUUAGGUUGUUGGCUUAAUGACUCUAAAUGACCCGUCUUGAAACACGGACCAA